CCCCACCCAUGCCGCCGCCGCCGGAGCCACCCACCGCCCCGCCUCCCUCACACAGACCUCACCGCCGGCCAUGGCCUUCCCCAACAGCCGCCGCUCCGGCCCUCUCCCCCUCCCCUCCCCUUAUCACAAGACAAGAGAAGAGAAGAGGGAGGGAAAUCGAUCGCGACCGAGCAGGUCAAGCGGCGACAAUGGCGCGCCCAGACCCGCCAGCGUCGUCGUCGUCGAGCUCUGCUGGGCGGCGCAGUCCGGUAGAGUAGGAAUGAGGGGGCGGUGGGACGCCUCCCCUGCUCGAGCUGCUCCAAGCGAGCGACCACAGCGCCGGAUCCACCUCCACAACCACCCCCCGGCGGCCACGGAAGGUCAGGGACCUUCGUCCGGUCCGUGUGCUUCUUCUCCAUGGAGCUCCGACACCGCAGCAGCCGCAUCCAUGGAAGGUCCCUCUUCUCCUCCCCGCCUCUCUCUCCCUCCCUCCCUCUGUUUGUUUCGAUCUGGAAACUGUCUGAUUCGAUUUCCUCACAUGCGCACGUGCUUCUUCCGCUCUCCGCUGCUCCAACCCUAGUGCCGACGCCAUGGACCUCGUCAAUCGUGGUUUGCUGCUGCCGCCGACCGUUUCCCUGACAAGUUGACACCAAAGCCACCAUUGUCAAAGCCGCCGUUGGCCGGCGUUGCCACUGGUCGCUGCUCCACGCAUCUUGUCGGUGCUGCGAGGCGAUGCCAUCUACAUAUGUUGCUGCAGCCUGGGAGGUGGCAGGGUCUCCAGGUGAUGCCCUCUUUGCUGCCCAAUCGUUGAAGAUGCCAUAGGACGAGAUCCUCUGCUGCUGCUGUGUCUGGUGGUUGAAGAAGGGGUGUGCUGGGAAGAGGAGGCAGUGUUGAGAGUGCUCGAUCUGGAACAGGACGAGCUUGGGCUGCAUCGGCUCUGGUUCUCAACCUCCAACAUGAGUCCCUUUCUUCCGUGCCUCGAACUCCACGAGUCAUCAUGGGCACUGCAGAUGCGGAGGAGUUUUUCCGGGGCGAUCUGCUUGUUCCCGGCCGCGCUGGUGUCAACUACCUCGAGCCACUAUGACCAUCCCAACCACGCUCACCCCCCUGAACGAAUUGUUUGUGGAUCUGCAAAGGGGGAUUCAAUUAAUUUUCAGUUGUAGAAAAGGGAGAAGGGGGAUUCAAUUAAUUUUCCUCCUCAAGAUCAAAGAAACAAAAUCUUUGUGGCGAUGAUAGAAGGGGUUCACGACUUCACGUUAAUACACAGACUAUUGGUAAGGGCAUUAAAACAUAUAUCUGGUGUGAAAUGGUCGUACAUGCUUGAUUAGAAUAUUUUCAAGUGUUGUAGGUGUACGGCUGUGGGGAAACAUUUUCAUGGUCUAAUUUUCUAAUUAAUGUAUGCACGAGACAUGAAUCUUGGAUUCUAAACUUUUUCCUCGAUGUUUGGGCUUCCUCUAACUUUUCGUAUAUUGCACACAACACAACACAUAGAUUCAUGUCUUCCAUGCUUGCUGUCUUGUAACAAACAGAUGUUGGGAUGGAUACUAAUUUUCUAAAUGAUUUGAACUCAUGUUGUUUUCUAUUCUACUGUCAUUGGUUCAUCAUUCUGAACCAUUCAAUUGUUGGAACUCCGGCAUAUAUUGGUCCUGAAGUUAUGCUGAAGAAAGAAUAUGAUGCAAGCUAUGAUCCAUCCUAUUUUGUGCUUUAAACGGUCUGCUGCAUACUCUGCCAUCUGCUGCAUAACUUAAUUCUGUUUGCUCGGCCAUAAAAGCCUUACUUGAUUUCUGAAUCUUCCAUUCACCUUUCGUUGUCAUGAGUGGUGAAUGGUCUUGAGGAGUAACCAUUUAGAUACUGUAUGUUUUUUUGCUCAAACACGAUCUCGACAUUGAUAAUAGCAGAGAGAUAAUAUACGCCUUAUAAUCUUGUAACUGUAGAAAAAAGUAUAGAUAACCCCCAGAAGUAUCCUGUUUGGAUCACAUAACCCCCCCAUGUUUAAAACCGAGUUCUUAAUCCCCUGAACUAUUCUAAACCAGACAUAUCACCCCCUAGCACCCACUUAAGUAGUUUGGGACCGUGCUUUUGCAUAUGUGGCGCCUGGGCUGGGCCCAUCGACCGGCCACGUCGGACUGGGCCUGCUGGGUGCGGUCUAAAUGACGCCCUCGAGCAGGUUCGACCCAGACUCGGCCUCUUCGCCUCGCAAUUUAGCGUGAGCUUUUUAAUUUUUCAGCAGUGUACUACAGCAAAUUGUUGAUCAUUAUACUGUUCUGUAUGCAAUGCUAUGUUAAAGAAGGAAACUUUUGACAACAAAUAUUUUAUGACUGUACUAUUCUGUAUGGAAUGGUGUGUUGCAAGAUAUUUUAUCAGAAGUGUACAUAUUAUUGGCAUCAAAUUCAGAAAUAGACAGCAAAUUUCCAUAGCAUUGAAGAUCUUAAAUUCACACAAUAAGUUCCAUGGAAUACUCAGGUUCAACCUGAUAAAAGCUACAGGUCUUUGACAUGCAAAACUCCACAAACGACACUUAAUUGUCAAGGAAUUUGAUGUUUCACAUCAAAUAAAAGCACACACUUCUAUCUGGUGUUACACAUCAACUACGUGACAUUGAAAAACAAUCUGGGCAUUCACUUUUUCCGCAGUGAGAAGUCAUUCCAGCCUGUUAUUUGUUUGCACUUGCAUCUGCUGUGAGCUUGAAGAAGCCCUGUUGUGAAUGCUCAGAUUGUAUGUGCAUCUGCUGUGAGCUUGAAGAAGCACUUGCAUCAACUACGUAACUAUAUGUGCAGAAGUAGUUGUGGUGUUCCUUCCACCUUAUGAAUUAGUCUGUGAAGAGGUGAAUAGUCAGGAGCCCCAUGGAGCCAAACAAACAUUAUGUUCAGGCUACAGAUUAUAUUCAUACUACAGCUUGAGUCUGAAUUUGUAUUGAUACACGAAAAUGUCAUGUGUGCCAAGAAAAGUAUGUUAACUGUACAAUCAA